rnacentral:lncRNA from 1 species
UGUGCAUUUUACCAACCAAAUAAUGUUGAUAUUUAUUUUUAUUAUCACUUUUGAUUACAGGCAGAUUAAAUCUCCUAAUCAUACUUUCAACUACUUUAUUAUUUGCAUGACCGAAUCUCUCAUGCCAGAGAGAGACCGAAACUUUCGUCGCCAAGUUCACAGUAGGAAUAUUUUGUUGCUCCUCAAAAUCCACAUAGUAGAGUCCUUCCUUGAUACCUCCAACAGUCAACUCUUCAUCAGUUGUUCGAUCCUUAAUAGAAACAAUGUCAUUGUCAAAAACAACCUUGACUGAAUUAUCUUUACAUAAUUUUCUAAUAGAUAAUAGGUUCUUUUUAAUUUUCGGUACAUGCAGAACGUCAUUAAGCAAAAUCAAUCUAUCAUUGCAAAAAUAUUUAGUUUUACUAUUAGAUUUAAUUGAAAUAAUAUUCCCAUUUGCAACUGUCAAACCUGUUUCUUUGGGAAGAAGAUCAACCUCUUUCAAUGUUUCUUUAUUUUGUGUCACAUGAUCUGUACACCCAGAAUCUGUGUACCAACCUGCAUUAGCCUCUGCCUUUUUAUUUCCAUUGUUCUGAUAUCCUCGAAAUUUGUUGUGACGAGGAUUAGGCGGAGUAGAAAAUCUGUAUUCGUUGUACCGAUUAAAGCAUGCUAUUGCCGAGUGACCUGGUUUAGAACAAAUUUGACAUAUAAUAGAUGUUGAAUUAGAUUUAAAAGAACCCCCAGAUUGAGCC